rnacentral:rRNA from 1 species
UACAGAGGGUGCGAGCGUUAAUCGGAAUUACUGGGCGUAAAGGGCAUGUAGGCGGUUGUAUAAGUUAGCUGUGAAAUACUUGGGCUCAACCUGAGUGCUGCAGCUAAGACUGUAGAGCUAGAAUAGAGUAGAGGGUAGCGGAAUUCCCGGUGUAGCAGUAAAAUGCGUAGAUAUCGGGAGGAACACUCGUGGCGAAGGCGGCUACCUGGACUCAUAUUGACGCUGAGGUGCGAAAGCGUGGGGAGCAAACAGG